GCUACGUCUUAUUCUCGGGGAAACACGUACAUGUGUGUACGUGAGCGUGUGUAUAUGGGUGCAUGUAUGAGUCUGUGUGAGAGCAUGUGUGUGUGUGUGUGUGAGAGUGUUCGUGCCCACACAUGCUAAGCUUUGGUUUGGCUUUCUCAAGUUGAGAUGUGUGGCAGCCACUACAAGUGGAUGUCAGUGGAUUUACAUUCCUGCUCGCACCCCUCCUUGCGUUUUCUCCCGUGCCUGUUUCCAUCCCCCUUUUCAUAAACUGCACUCCAGGAACCUGGCCGGUGCGUCUUCCAACAUGGCUAUGACUGUGUGGGAUCCACCCACAUCAUCCUGAGACAGCGAUCCUUCUAGGAAGUGUGCGUGGAGGCGCAGAUGUUGGCUGCUGCCAAAUGGUGGGCUGUGGAGAUGCUGGCCUUGUGGAAGCGGCAUUUCAGGUGAGGGGGUGUGUCCUCACUUCCGUGUCGACUCAGUGGGUCUCGCUGGCCCUCAGCCCAGAUGAAACACUGAAUGUCACUCUUGGCCCUGGACACAGCACUGGCCUUUCACUCCAGAGUGCAGACAGCCCCAGAGCCCACGCCCUUCCCAGGGAAGCUCGCCGGCCUCUGUCAGGCUUUACGGAUGGAGAAACUGAGGCUCCAAGGUUUUCUUGGGCUUCUUUUCCUUCCUGAGCGGUCUGGGUGCUUACAGGAGGGUCUCGUGAACUCUACUCCUCCAACUCUAAUGCCUUCACUUCCUGAUAAGGAGGUCACACCAUGGCACAAAGCACUUUUGGUCACCUACCUCUUCCUGGAACACAAGAAUCUCUGAGGGUGGGACUGGGGAAUACUGGUGUUUGCACAGGAAAUGGAGGCACGCAUUGACGCCACACGUGCCCGCCCUGCACAGCCGCAGAUGGUGUCACCCAUGGCAUGAGCCCGAGCCAGGCGGAGCAUAGUGGUGGCAGGCCUGGCUCCACGGGGUCUGGCACCGUCUGGUGUGUCUGAGCACAGCCCCCUGCAAGCUGCUUCCGUGUGCUGGCGACUUUUAUAACUUCACCUGGUUAGAGAAAUUUGUUUAGUGGUUUCUAAGAAUAUGGACCUAUUGUGUCUAUGCUCUGGAAUUUGGCAAGCAUCAGGACAACGUAAGUCUAAAUUUAUUGCUAAUUAAAAUAAUUACAAUAAUCAGGGCUCCAUCCCAGUCAGCAGCUUGGGGAAAUUAAGAGAGAAAACCUUUUCUGAGAGUGACUCAUGGCCAAGUGGAAAUAGUGUUCCCAAAGCUUAAUAAACUCCCCCUCAAAUAACUUAAAAGGUGCUUUACACAGGCAGCUGUUGGUGUGGUCUGGGGUCUCUGUCAGAUGCAUGACUUGAGUGGGAGGUGGGAAGGGGCACAGCUGCUGGAACCAGACUCCUAACAGGACCCCGCUGUCACCACCGGGCUGCCCAGAGGGUCUGCCUUGAGAGCUGCAGUCUUUUUAUGGCCUGUUCCCUGCAGUUUCCUAGGCACAGUGACUCACGGGGUCACACUCAGCCAGCAGAGUGCAGAGGCUCUGAGAUCCUUGUGGGGACCUCAUGGGUUCUGAAUUCCUGUUCCCUCCCAGACCUGGCACACAGGUCCCGCCCGUACUGUGUCUCAGUCACAAAAAAGAGCGUCGUGCUAGAUGGGACCCGAGCAGUCAGCAUGGCCCACGGACGGGGCUCCACUUUGAGGCAGAGAAGGAGCGCUGUCCUGAGAUGGGGCAGCCAUCCCUGAGGGCAGACCCCUUAGUGCUCUGAGCCGCUGCCGGCCGGGUGCAGCCACUCCUGCUGUCAGGGCUUUGAAGGGCAUCCAUGAGGCACUUGCUUUCAUGGACUUUCGAGAUACAAAAGGCUUUCACUCAUUUCCCACUCGGGCUGGGCACGGGGUUCAGAGUCUGCAAGGGACUCACUCUUGUCCCUAGUAUUUCCUGGCACCUCGAGCAACGUCAAGGAGAAAUUCAUCUUCACAUUCUGUCCUUGUUCUUGGCCACUUCCAUGCAGAGAUUGUCAUUAAUAAAGCUGGCGUCCCCAUGUGCUGGGCAGCAGAGUCUGAAGGAAGGGAGAGACCCAGGUGUGAAGCAGCUGAGGCAGAGGCAAGACGAAGGGGAGCUGGCCUGCUGGGUCUCCCUUCCCCAGGCUUAUCUGUUUCUCCCGAUGUUUGGGGAGGGCAGAGAGCGUGGAGGAAAUUUCUCUAGAUUGGAAAUCCAGGAGGCUGUCUCUCCUGUCCAUCACAGGGCUUCAGCCCCACGUGCUCAGGUAUGUGGUUCCAAAGGGACGUAAUGUUUAAGAGCUUGGGUUCUUUCCCUGUAUUUUCCCUGUUUAUUAGCUGUGUGUCCUUGAGCGAAUUCCUUAACCGGUAAGUGCAUUUCCUCAUCUAUGACGUGGACUGAUACUAAUGGCCCCACUCUUAUAAUGAACCAUGUGUAAAGGGCUACAUCAGUUUUCUGUCGCUCUGUGACAGACCAUCCCAAGACUUAGUGGGAUAAAGCGACAGCCGUUUGCUUAGCACAUGAUUCUGUGGGUCUGUGGCAGUUACUCUGGGCUCGGCCAGCCUCACUCCCCCAUUUGCAUCACUGCUGGGUUGCUGGCAGCUGGAUGGCCUACGAUGGCUUCAUUCCCAGGUUCUGGUGGGGGCAGGCUGCCGGCCAGGGCCUGGGACGUUUGGCUGGGCACCCUGCUUCUCCUAAGUGUGGCCGGGUCUUCAGGCAGGCCGGCUCAGGUGUGUUCUUUGGGGGGCUCAGAGUUCCAAGCUCUGAAACACAAGGUCUUUUCAAGCUUCUGUUUGCAUCAGGAUAAGUGCAUCUCAUCGGCAAGCCUAAUGAGAAGGAUGGAGAAACAGGACCAGCUCUUGAUGGUGCCAUGCUUGCAGUCCACACAGGCUGAAUGCGACCUGGAAGGCAAUUCAGGAGUCAACAGUGGAGAGACAGCUCUUUGAUCAUCCUGCAUCACAAAGUCUUCAUGGACAACAGGACGAUGUUGUGUGAAGACCCAGACAUUGAGACUGAGUUAAAGUAGGGGAGACUCUGGGUGGCUCCGAAUGGCUUCUGGAUGGGGGCUGUCACCACAAAGACCAAGCCAUGAUUAGAAUUCUUAGCCCCACGCCCCUCGUCAGGAUGGAGAAAGGCUGGAAAUGGAGUUAACUACCAACCGUGCCUAUGCAAUGAAGCCUCCAUAAAAAUCCUGGAGGUACAGUGUUGGGAGAGCUUCCACAUCAGUGAACAUGUCCACACUGGGAGGGUGACACACCCCAGUUCCAUGGGGACAGAAGCUCCUGCAUUUGGGAGCCUCCCAAACCUCACCUCUCUCUCUCUUCAUCUGGCUGGUCAUCUGUAUCCUGUAUCAUAUCCUCAAAAAAAACAAAACAAAAACACCUGAAAAUGUGUUUCCCUGAGUCCCAUGAGCCACUCUAACAAAUUAAUUGAAACCGAGGAGGGGUCAUGGAGAUCCCCAAUUUGUUGCCAAAUCAGGCAGAGGUUGUGGGUAAUUUGGAGACCCCUGACUUAGACUUGGCAUCUGAAGUGGGGGCCAGUCCUGUGGGGCUGAGCCCUCAACCUGUGGGAUCUAACGCUAUCUCAGGUUGCCAGUGUCAGAAUUGAGUUAAAUGGUAGAACACCCAGCUGAUGUCACAGGAAAUUGCUUGUUAUGGGAAAAAACCUCCACACAUUUGGUGCCCAGAAGUGUCAGAAGUGAAGUGUUCUGUGUGCAAGUGAAGAGUCACAGGCAGUAGAGUCACAUAGGAAGGAAGACUGGGUGGUUUUUCUAACUCACCUCUUCUGAAGAGCAGAGGACUCAGCACACCUUCCAUGUAGUUGUCACCUGUUUGUCGUUUCAUGUGUGCGUAAAAGUGACACAUGGUAACACCUGUCAAAACAAAUCUAAAAGAGCUCUUUCGAGGUGAUAAGAAAGCCUGUGUUGUUAUUUGAUCGGCCUUCUGCAAUUUAUUCUCAACCAAGUGAGCCAGCAGCAGUCUGCGGUCCUUGCCACACCACCCUCCCCAGCCCCUGGUGGUGCGUAAACCAGCUUGGAGGCCUCAGCCCUUCCCACCUUGAUCUGUCCUCACUUUUUAAAAAAUAAUGUUUUGAGGGCCGGCCCGGUGGCUCAGGCGGUUAGAGCUCCAUGCUCCUAACUCCGAAGGCU